rnacentral:rRNA from 1 species
AGUUUGAUCCUGGCUCAGGAUGAACGCUAGCUACAGGCUUAACACAUGCAAGUCGAGGGGCAUCAGUUUGGUUUGCUUGCAAACCAAAGCUGGCGACCGGCGCACGGGUGAGUGACACGUAUCCAACCUGCCUCAUACUCGGGGAUAGCCUUUCGAAAGAAAGAUUAAUAUCCGAUAGCAUAUACUUCCCGCAUGGGUUUUAUAUUAAAGAAAUUCGGUAUGAGAUGGGGAUGCGUUCCAUUAGUUUGUUGGGGGGGUAACGGCCCACCAAGACUACGAUGGAUAGGGGUUCUGAGAGGAAGGUCCCCCACAUUGGAACUGAGACACGGUCCAAACUCCUACGGGAGGCAGCAGUGAGGAAUAUUGGUCAAUGGACGCGAGUCUGAACCAGCCAAGUAGCGUGAAGGAUGACUGCCCUAUGGGUUGUAAACUUCUUUUAUAUGGGAAUAAAGUUGUCCACGUGUGGAUUUUUGUAUGUACCAUAUGAAUAAGGAUCGGCUAACUCCGUGCCAGCAGCCGCGGUAAUACGGAGGAUCCGAGCGUUAUCCGGAUUUAUUGGGUUUAAAGGGAGCGUGGGCGGAUUGUUAAGUCAGUUGUGAAAGUUUGCGGCUCAACCGUAAAAUUGCAGUUGAUACUGGCAGUCUUGAGUGCAGUAGAGGUGGGCGGAAUUCGUGGUGUAGCGGUGAAAUGCUUAGAUAUCACGAAGAACUCCGAUUGCGAAGGCAGCUCACUGGAGUGUAACUGACGCUGAUGCUCGAAAGUGUGGGUAUCAAACAGGAUUAGAUACCCUGGUAGUCCACACAGUAAACGAUGAAUACUCGCUGUUUGCGAUAUACAGUAAGCGGCCAAGCGAAAGCAUUAAGUAUUCCACCUGGGGAGUACGCCGGCAACGGUGAAACUCAAAGGAAUUGGCGGGGGCCCGCACAAGCGGAGGAACAUGUGGUUUAAUUCGAUGAUACGCGAGGAACCUUACCCGGGCUUAAAUUGCAAAUGAAUUAUGGGGAAACCCAUACGCCGCAAGGCAUUUGUGAAGGUGCUGCAUGGUUGUCGUCAGCUCGUGCCGUGAGGUGUCGGCUUAAGUGCCAUAACGAGCGCAACCCUUAUCUUCAGUUACUAACAGGUCAUGCUGAGGACUCUGGAGAGACUGCCGUCGUAAGAUGUGAGGAAGGUGGA